UACGGGGGGGGCAAGCGUUGUUCGGAAUUACUGGGCGUAAAGGGCUCGUAGGCGGCCAACUAAGUCAGACGUGAAAUCCCCAGGCUCAACCUGGGAACUGCGUCUGAUACUGGAUGGCUUGAAUCCGGGAGAGGGAUGCAGAAUUCCAGGUGUAGCGGUGAAAUGCGUAGAUAUCUGGAGGAACACCGGUGGCGAAGGCGGCGUUCUGGACUGUAUCUGACACUGAGGAACGAAAGCCAGGGGAGCAAACGGG
rnacentral:rRNA from 1 species